rnacentral:rRNA from 1 species
CCUACGGGAGGCAGCAGUGGGGAAUCUUGCGCAAUGGGCGAAAGCCUGACGCAGCGACGCCGCGUGGGGAAGAAGGCCUUCGGGUUGUAAACCUCUUUCAGUGGGGACGAGGCCGGCUGGGUUAAUAGCCCUGUCCGGUGACGGUACCCGCAGAAGAAGCCCCGGCUAACUACGUGCCAGCAGCCGCGGUAAUACGUAGGGGGCAAGCGUUGUCCGGAAUCAUUGGGCGUAAAGCGCGUGUAGGCGGCGCGGUAAGUCCGGUGUGAAACCUUGGGGCUCAACCCCAAGCCUGCAUCGGAUACUGCCGCGCUCGAGUCCGGGAGAGGGAAGCGGAAUUCCUAGUGUAGCGGUGAAAUGCGCAGAUAUUAGGAAGAACACCGGUGGCGAAGGCGGCUUCCUGGAACGGUACUGACGCUGAGACGCGAAAGCGUUGGGGAGCGAACAGGAUUAGAUACCCUGGUAGUCCACGCCGUAAACGAUGGGCACUAGAUGUGGGUCGGUGUCGACGUCCGUCCGUCGUCGUGUCGUACGACAUAGUAGUCCGCCGUCGGAGGUACGGCCGGCGACGACGUAACGUAACAACGAAGUAGUAGACGCGAGACGACGCGACGACGACGACGACGGAGGAGGAG